rnacentral:rRNA from 1 species
ACGGGAAUUACUUUAUUGAAACUUCGGUCGAUUUAAUUUAAUUCUAGUGGCGGACGGGUGAGUAACGCGUGGGUAACCUGCCUUGUACAGGGGGAUAACAGUCAGAAAUGACUGCUAAUACCGCAUAAGCGCACAGGACCGCAUGGUCCGGUGUGAAAAACUCCGGUGGUAUAAGAUGGACCCGCGUUGGAUUAGCUAGUUGGUGAGGUAACGGCCCACCAAGGCGACGAUCCAUAGCCGGCCUGAGAGGGUGAACGGCCACAUUGGGACUGAGACACGGCCCAGACUCCUACGGGAGGCAGCAGUGGGGAAUAUUGCACAAUGGGGGAAACCCUGAUGCAGCGACGCUGCGUGAAGGAAGAAGUAUCUCGGUAUGUAAACUUCUAUCAGCAGGGAAGAAUUAGGACGGUACCUGACUAAGAAGCCCCGGCUAACUACGUGCCAGCAGCCGCGGUAAUACGUAGGGGGCAAGCGUUAUCCGGAUUUACUGGGUGUAAAGGGAGCGUAGACGGAUGGACAAGUCUGAUGUGAAAGGCUGGGGCUCAACCCCGGGACUGCAUUGGAAACUGCCCGUCUUGAGUGCCGGAGAGGUAAGCGGAAUUCCUAGUGUAGCGGUGAAAUGCGUAGAUAUUAGGAGGAACACCAGUGGCGAAGGCGGCUUACUGGACGGUAACUGACGUUGAGGCUCGAA